rnacentral:rRNA from 1 species
GCAGUCGAGCGAACAGACGAGGAGCUUGCUCCUCUGACGUUAGCGGCGGACGGGUGAGUAACACGUGGAUAACCUACCUAUAAGACUGGGAUAACUUCGGGAAACCGGAGCUAAUACCGGAUAAUAUAUUGAACCGCAUGGUUCAAUAGUGAAAGACGGUUUUGCUGUCACUUAUAGAUGGAUCCGCGCCGCAUUAGCUAGUUGGUAAGGUAACGGCUUACCAAGGCAACGAUGCGUAGCCGACCUGAGAGGGUGAUCGGCCACACUGGAACUGAGACACGGUCCAGACUCCUACGGGAGGCAGCAGUAGGGAAUCUUCCGCAAUGGGCGAAAGCCUGACGGAGCAACGCCGCGUGAGUGAUGAAGGUCUUCGGAUCGUAAAACUCUGUUAUUAGGGAAGAACAAAUGUGUAAGUAACUAUGCACGUCUUGACGGUACCUAAUCAGAAAGCCACGGCUAACUACGUGCCAGCAGCCGCGGUAAUACGUAGGUGGCAAGCGUUAUCCGGAAUUAUUGGGCGUAAAGCGCGCGUAGGCGGUUUUUUAAGUCUGAUGUGAAAGCCCACGGCUCAACCGUGGAGGGUCAUUGGAAACUGGAAAACUUGAGUGCAGAAGAGGAAAGUGGAAUUCCAUGUGUAGCGGUGAAAUGCGCAGAGAUAUGGAGGAACACCAGUGGCGAAGGCGACUUUCUGGUCUGUAACUGACGCUGAUGUGCGAAAGCGUGGGGAUCAAACAGGAUUAGAUACCCUGGUAGUCCACGCCGUAAACGAUGAGUGCUAAGUGUUAGGGGGUUUCCGCCCCUUAGUGCUGCAGCUAACGCAUUAAGCACUCCGCCUGGGGAGUACGACCGCAAGGUUGAAACUCAAAGGAAUUGACGGGGACCCGCACAAGCGGUGGAGCAUGUGGUUUAAUUCGAAGCAACGCGAAGAACCUUACCAAAUCUUGACAUCCUCUGACCCCUCUAGAGAUAGAGUUUUCCCCUUCGGGGGACAGAGUGACAGGUGGUGCAUGGUUGUCGUCAGCUCGUGUCGUGAGAUGUUGGGUUAAGUCCCGCAACGAGCGCAACCCUUAAGCUUAGUUGCCAUCAUUAAGUUGGGCACUCUAAGUUGACUGCCGGUGACAAACCGGAGGAAGGUGGGGAUGACGUCAAAUCAUCAUGCCCCUUAUGAUUUGGGCUACACACGUGCUACAAUGGACAAUACAAAGGGCAGCGAAACCGCGAGGUCAAGCAAAUCCCAUAAAGUUGUUCUCAGUUCGGAUUGUAGUCUGCAACUCGACUAUAUGAAGCUGGAAUCGCUAGUAAUC